UGGCGGCAGCGGACCGUGGAGGCCGGGUGCAGCCCCGUCGGCUGCGCGCUCUCUGCAGAAAAGGAUUUUCUACGCUCCCCGCCCAUCACUUGGAUCUCGUCUGGGGAGGGGCGGAUUUUUUUUCUGGAAGUACCCUUCUUCUCCACGGUGGAGGAUUUAAGGCUGGGCUCCAAUCGAGGCGGAGGCUGCAGGGCCCGCGGGGCGCCCCCCGCCCGGCGCACGCCUGCCCGGAGCCCGGGAAGGCGCAGCCCUGGGUGGGGGGGCCCGUGCACCCCCGGAGGCGGCAGCGGCGAUAAACCUGCCAGUAAUUUCAGCAAAUGAAACGUGGAACACGUCAAGGCCAGAGGAUGGAAAAGGCUCCAGUUUUGAUAAAAGGAGGCCUGCUUGGCUUGGAAUCCUCUCUCCUGCUGGUUGGGAGAUGCAAAGAUGUUUCCAGAGAGGGGCUGAUGAAUUGAGGGGAAAGAAAUGAGCCCAGUAUGAGUCCCCUUUCAGGGCUGAGCGUGUAUAAAACCAAACAACUUGGAACCGCUCCAAGAGAGGGGAUUAAAGCAACAUGUUAUUCUGAGUGAUUGCUUAAUUUAUUGAGCUGCGGCUGGAUCUGUAAUGAAAUACAGCCCUUGUAACUGAUAACCUCCUGCUGCCAUUGAACUUCUACAAUUAAGGAAUAUUUUCUGAGUUUCUCUGGAACGGCUCUGAAUUUUUAGCCUCUGUGGUAGGGUGCUUCUGAACAUUUGUUUUCCAGGCAAUUUUUUUUGAGUAUUAGGCUGAUGUUAAUAAAUAAGCAGCAUUUUAUUGAGUGUUUUGUGGGAACCAGGAACUUUAUAUACAUUGUUUCUAAUCCUGACACUAAUCCUGUCAAUAUCCAGUGAAAUAACCCCUAUUAUUCCCUAUUUUACAGAUGUGAAGCCACGAGACGUUAGGUCAUUUUCUAGAGUGGUGCUGUCCAAGACAGUAGCUGUGAUGGCUCCUUGUGGCUAUUGAUGUGUAAAUUAGUUAAAAUUAAAUAAAUUUUAACAUUUACACCCUAGGUUGCACUAACAAUGAGUUCAAGUGCCCAGCAGCCCCGUGUACUGUGGCUGAUGGCUACCACAUUGGACAGUGCAGAUAUAGACCAUUUGAAGGUUGCACAAGUGCUAUUGGUCAGCACUGACUUAGAUUUCCUUUUUUUUUUUUUUUUUGAGAUGGAGUCUCGCUCUAUUGUCCAGGUUGGAGUGCAGUGGUGCAAUCUCGGCUCACUGCAACCUCCGCCUCCUGGGUUCAAGUGAUUCUCCUGCCCCAGCCUCCUGAGUAGCUGGGACUACAGGUGCAUGCCACCACGCCCAGCUAAUUUUUGUAUUUUUAAUAGAGAUGGGGUUUCACUGGCCAGGCUGGUCUCGAACUCCUGACCUCAGGGGAUCCACCUGCCUCAGCCUCUCAAAGUGUUGGGAUUACAGGUGUGAGCCACCACGCCCAGCCAGGUUCAGAUUUCAUAGCUAGAACCUGGCAGUGCCAGAAUUCAAGCCGAAGCUAAUGGGCUUUGAAGGCAGAGUUCAUCUGCCAGCCUUGUUGCUUCUUUUUCUUCCCUCUGCUGAGAAGCAAGGAACAGAGCAGUGACUGUAUCCCCUGGCUACACAUUAGAAUUACCUGCAAUUCUUUUUUUUUUUGAGACGGAGUCUCACUCUGUAACCCAGGCUGGAGUGCAGUGGUGUGAUAUUGGCUCACUGCAACCUCCACCUCCCAGGUUCAAGCAAUUCUCCUGCCUCAGCCUUCCAAGUAGCCGGGAUUAUAGGCACACACCACAACGCCCAGCUAAUUUUUGUAUCUUUAGUAGAGAUGGGGUUUCGCCAUGUUGGCCAGGCUGGUCUCGAACUCCUGACGUCAGGUGAUCCACCCUCCUUGACCUCCCAAAGUGUUGGGAUUACAAGCAUGAGCCACCGCACCCGGCCUACCUACAAUUCUUUUUUUUUGAGAUGGAGUCUCGCUGUCUCCCAGGCUGGAGUGCAGUGGCGCGAUCUCAGCUCACUGCAAGCUCUACAUCCCGGGUUCAUGUCAUUCUCCUGCUUCAGCCUCCCGAGUAGCUGGGACUACAGGCGCCUGCCACCACGCCCAGCUAAUUUUUUGUAUUUUUAGUAGAGACGGGGUUUCACCAUGUUAGCCAGGAUGGUCUCAAUCUCCUGACCUCCUGAUCCUACCACCUCGGCUUCCCAAAGUGCUGGAAGCUGUGAGCUUUUUCCCAAAGUGCUAGAAGCUCUGAGCCGCCACGCCUGGCCCCUGCAAUUCUUUAAAAAAAAUGAUGGUAGGGUCCCAGGCCCAGAUAAUCUGACUUCACUGUGAUUAAGCCGGGUGGGGACAGGCAUCAGAGGUUUUUCUACUUCCCCAUGUGAUGCCACUGUGCAGCCAGCACGUAGAGCAGCUAGGCGUGAGGACCCACACAGAGGAUGCUGGAAGCAGCUGGUUCAUCUGCCAGGAGAAUGCAGUAUCUUGUGACCAAGAAGUGGGCUUCUCCCAGGGCCACUUCUAAACCACCUCAUCAGAGAGCUCAGGUUCAUAUCCGAGGGAAGAAACUGAAGUGCUUUCUCACACGCUUCCAGCUUGAUGAGAAUCACAGUAGGGAGCUUUGCUUUUCCAAACAGGCUUUGUCACAUGAUCAUGGAAGAAAGGAGAUGCCCACGUAAGAUCACAGAGACAAGGUGAAAAACCCGUAGCCCCGAAUUGGAAUUGGAAGCAUCAGUAUGAAUUCAUGCUAUAUUUUUGUCUUACAAAGUAAAGCAGGUGUUUGCUAGCUCUGUCAACCAUAAAGUUUAGAAAUAAUGAGCCAUCCAAUAGCAGUGAACACCCCAGCACCCAGGUUAUGGUGUCUAAACGCCACUUCCGACUAGAAAUGAGGGCAUGAAGAAAUAACCAAUUCCAGGUCUGAGGCAAGAAAAAAAAUUCAAGAUGAGCCUGGAACAUCUGGUCAUUCCUUGCUUCCUUGAUAGCAAGGAAGGUGAGGGUCACAUUGAAAAGGAUGCAGGAGACAACAUGGAGUGGCUCCCAAUGGGGAGAGUUUGAGCAUCAUUAACAAUAAUGGGCCGAGCGCGGUGGCUCACGCCUGUAAUCCCAGCACUUUGGGAGGCCGAGGUGGGUGGAUCACAAGGUCAGGAGAUGGAGACCAUCCUGGCUAACACAGUGAAACCCCGUCUCUACUAAAAAUACAAAAAAUUAGCCGGGUGUGGUGGUGGGGUACCUGUAGUCCCAGCU
rnacentral:lncRNA from 1 species